rnacentral:rRNA from 1 species
UCCCGCGUAAUUUAAGCAUAUUAAUAAGCGGAGGAAAAGAAACUAACAAGGAUUCCCUUAGUAGCUGCGAGCGAACAGGGAGGAGCCCAGCACUGAAUCCUGCGCGCAAAGCACGCGUCUGGAAAUGUAGUGUUUGGGAGGGCACAAUUAUCUCGCCGGUGGGCGCCCGUCCAAGUCCGUCUUGAAAGCGGCCACAGCCCAUAGAGGGUGCCAGGCCCGUCUGACGGCGCAUACAAACACCGGCGAAAGUGUCUCAGAGUUCAAGAGUACGUGAAACCGUUCAGGGGUAAACGGGCGAGAUCUGGAAAAUCGAAGCGAGUCAUUCACGUCUGCAUGUCGCGUGUAACUAGGCUCCCGUCGAUGGUCGGUGUCGGCUACCGUGUCGCGUCGCAAGGCGCGCGCGCGUGGGUCGCUCCGCCACGAACGGAAGGGUCUACGUUCGCCGAUGUCGGGCUGCACUUGUCUCGUUGUAGUACGUCGCGACCCGUUGGGUGUGUGUCGCAGGGGCCGUCGUGGAGCUGGAAACGUGCGUGGGUGUGUUGCCGUUCGUAAGAGCGGUGGCCCUCCGUCGUAUCCAACCGUGUGGUUACCCGACACACGACAGCCCGACGGUAGCUAAGUGAGAGGGCGUUGUCUAGUGUUAAGAGCCUCCGGCUUAUGGGGGUGGCGCGCAAGCGCACGCUGAUCGUCCGGCGACGAUCUAACCGGAUACUCUUCCGACCCGUCUUGAAACACGGACCAAGGAGUCUAACAUGUACGCGAGUCAUUGGGACCGCACUAAACCUAAAGGCGAAAUGAAAGUAAAGGUCGCGGCGCAAGCCCGGCCCACAGAGGGGAGAUGUCCGUGGCGUCCCUAGUGUCGCCGACGGAUCGCAUCCCCGGGGCGUCUCGUUGUCAUUGCGACACAGUAGGCGCACCCAGAGCGUACACGUUGGGACCCGAAAGAUGGUGAACUAUGCCUGGUCAGGUCGAAGUCAGGCUGGCGCUCGGAGAACUAAAUGAGUAAGGUGUCGCAGUUGUUUCGCACAAUGGGCACACUACCAGUCUCAUCUGGUAAAGCGAAUGAUUAGAGGCCUUGGGGCCGAAACGACCUCAACCUAUUCUCAAACUUUAAAUGGGUGAGAAAAUCGACUUGCUUAAAUGCUUGAAGUCGAUGUGCGCUUAAUUGUGCACGUUAAAGUGGAUGAGCGAGUGCCAAGUGGGCCAUUUUUGGUAAGCAGAACUGGUGCUGUGGGAUGAACCAAACGUCGAGUUAAGGCGCCUAAAACGAUGCUCAUGGGAUACCAUGAAAGGCGUUGGUUGCUUAAGCGAUGUUGAUGUGCUGUCGUUUUAGAACCGAUCGUUGUGACUUGUCAUGACAAUGCCACGGUUUGACCACAUCGGGCGAAAGGGAAUCUGGUUCCUAUUCCGGAACCCGGCUGCGGAACCGACCAUGCGGGCCAAUGCGAAACCGUGACUCAACGUACUUACCGCCGCCUGUCUGCUUCGGUAGACUUGCGGAAACGGCGUGCGCGUUGCGCGUCUAGCAACUCGUCGGGGUAACCCAAAAGGACCCGGAGACGCCGCCGGAUGAUCGAGGCAGAGUUUUCUGUUCUGCAUAAGCAUUCGAGUUCCCUGGAAUCGCCUAGCGCGGAGAUAGGGUUUGGAAUGCGAAGAGCACCGCACUUGCGGCGGUGUCUCGAUCUAUCUCGCGGACCUUGAAAAUCCGGGAGAGGGCCACGUGGAGGUGUCGCGCCGGCUCGUACCCAUAUCCGCAGCAGGUCUCCAAGGUGAGCAGCCUCUAGUCGAUAGAA